UACGGGGGGGGCAAGCGUUGUUCGGAAUUACUGGGCGUAAAGGGCUCGUAGGUGGCCAACUAAGUCAGACGUGAAAUCCCUCGGCUUAACCGGGGAACUGCGUCUGAUACUGGGAGGCUUGAGUGCGGGAGAGGGAUGUGGAAUUCCAGGUGUAGCGGUGAAAUGCGUAGAUAUCUGGAGGAACACCGGUGGCGAAGGCGGCAUCCUGGACCGACACUGACGCUGAGGCGCGAAAGCCAGGGGAGCAAACGGG
rnacentral:rRNA from 1 species